GUAACAAGGUUUCCGUAGGUGAACCUGCGGAAGGAUCAUUACCGAGUUCUCGGGCUUCGGCUCGACUCUCCCACCCUCUGUGAACGUACCUCUGUUGCUUUGGCGGCUCCGGCCGCCAAAGGACCUUCAAACUCCAGUCAGUAAACGCAGACGUCUGAUAAACAAGUUAAUAAACUAAAACUUUCAACAACGGAUCUCUUGGUUCUGGCAUCGAUGAAGAACGCAGCGAAAUGCGAUAAGUAAUGUGAAUUGCAGAAUUCAGUGAAUCAUCGAAUCUUUGAACGCACAUUGCGCCCCUUGGUAUUCCGGGGGGCAUGCCUGUUCGAGCGUCAUUACAACCCUCAAGCUCUGCUUGGAAUUGGGCACCGUCCUCACUGCGGACGCGCCUCAAAGACCUCGGCGGUGGCUGUUCAGCCCUCAAGCGUAGUAGAAUACACCUCGCUUUGGAGCGGUUGGCGUCGCCCGCCGGACGAACCUUCUGAACUUUUCUCAAGGUUGACCUCGGAUCAGGUAGGGAUACCCGCUGAACUUAAGCAUAUCA
rnacentral:rRNA from 1 species